rnacentral:rRNA from 1 species
UACGGAGGGAGCUAGCGUUGUUCGGAAUUACUGGGCGUAAAGCGCACGUAGGCGGCGAUUCAAGUCAGAGGUGAAAGCCCGGGGCUCAACCCCGGAACUGCCUUUGAAACUAGAAUGCUAGAAUCCUGGAGAGGUUAGUGGAAUUCCGAGUGUAGAGGUGAAAUUCGUAGAUAUUCGGAAGAACACCAGUGGCGAAGGCGACUAACUGGACAGGUAUUGACGCUGAGGUGCGAAAGCGUGGGGAGCAAACAGG